UGGGUUCGUGAGGCGGAGAGAGGUGUGUAGGUGCGGUAAGAGAGAAAGCAGAGGAUUUGGAUUUUCUUCUGAUAUUGACUGCUUAAAGAGGAGGCGGAGCCAGCAGCAAGCAUGCAGGAAGAAGGAAAGUUCAGCAGACUAGUCCUUCGCGGAAGAGAGUGGCUCAGGAGACUGAGAAGCGUGAUGCAGCUUAAAAAGAACAACAAAGUGGCCCCGCUCCAGCCCAAGGAGCAGCCUCCUCUGGCACCAGUUGUGACCAAACUCUUCAAGAGCUGUCGAGAGCUUGCGAAGGCAAAAGCCCGAAACCGGGCCCGUAUUAGGCCAGCACCUGGAGAAAAGGACAUAAUUGUGGAAGAUCUGGAAUGAGCGUACGGCGUGACGGGUGAAGAGAAGGUGCUCUGCUAUGGGAGAGUUAAAAGGGAGUAAGGGAAGAACGAGGGCGUUGAGAUCAAGGUAACCCUCCAGCCUCUCCUGAGCUGCAGAGGGAACUAAGUUCCCGCAGGAGGAGUGCUCGCCUCCAGACCAGGAGAGGCGAGUCACCAGAGGAUCGUGGCCGCCCUAUGCCUCGGGGGAGAUAAAACGCGCCAGCCCCAGUCCCAAGUUGCGGGAGCAACAGUGUUGGUUGCUAGUUCCUGCCUGAACCCUGUCCCGCUUUCCUGCCUGAGCUCCUGACCCGCCCUGGUUCCCUGCUUGCAAGCCUGUUGCUGACUUCACCCGACUCCCUGCCCUGCACCCAGCUUCAGCUACUACGGACUCCCUCCACGUUGCACCUUUGGCCACGGACUGGACUUGGACCUCGCCUCUCUAGUAACCUGUGGGACCAGCAAAACGAGGAAGGAGGGAGAAAGGAUUGAAGAGAGGUGAAAAUGGCGGGAACACAAGGCUGACCGGACUUGGACCUGCUGGGAAGCGCUGAGCAAAGGCGAGUCCCCAGGCAACGCGGCCAAUUUGAUCGGCACAAGGCAUGCAAGCUCCACCCCCCAGUCGUUCUUAGACUCCUUAUUGGGUGAGCAACGCAGCCAAGCAACACAGUUGGAGCCUCCUUGGCCAGCAGGGAGGGAGGGAGAGAAGCUGCUUCCUUUGAAACCCGGGAAAUUAAAGGGACAUCAUCAAUAAGGGACAGCAGCGGGGCACGGCGCUGGGUUAAGGGACUUUCCUGCCAAAUAAGGGACGGUUGACAGCUUUGCGUAUUGCGCUGUACCAUUUGCUUUGCAUAUGCGAACCAAAUAAACUCUGCUUGAAAUCUGAAUUGGUUUUGCCUCUCUGUGUCCAGUCCGUGCUCCAGAAUUACCGAUUCCCUUCGGUCCAACAUGAGAGGAACACAUCGGCGGUGAUCUAGCGUUUACAGCUGUUGAGGUAGAUGGUUCUCUUUCCUGUUCCCAGGCAGUAUUCCAAACUAGAGAACAAAGGAGAAACAUGGGAAAGAACAUUUCUACAUGCAGACAACAUGAUAGGAGACGUUGGUCAGAUUCUAAGCCCGGGCUUUGGCACAGAACAGAAGCAGCUUUUGAAUUCUGGGAGGGUGAAGGGGUAGAAGGCCUUAGCUCAGGGAUAGGCAAACCUGGCCCUCCAGAUAUUUUGGGACUACAACUCCCAUCAUCCCUGACCACUGGUCCUGUUAGCUAGGGAUGAUUGGAGUUGUAGUCCCAAAAAUAUCUGGUGGGCCGAAUUUGCUUGUUCCUGCCUUAGAUGUUUGGGGUGCCAGGACAACAUGGGAGGGGGCAUGGAUAUUUAAGCCGUUUCCACCCAUUCUUCCAGUUCUUUGGAAUCUCAGCACCUGCCCACCCUCCCUUAGAUCCAGUGCAGGUUUUGCAGGCUGCCUUGGGGUCCAGUAUAAAUUUCGGGUUGCCAGUACACUGGUCUGGCUGCCAGGUGUUUUGUUAUUGAGUUGAGGUCAGCUGUUAAUUCAGUUGCCUAGUCACUUUUAGCAGGAAAUAAUAAUAAUAAUAAUAAUAAUAAUAAUAAUAAUAAUAAUAUAUUUAUACCCCACCCAUCUGGCUGGGUUUCCCCAGCCACUCUGGGCAGCUUCCAACAAAACACUAAAAUACAAUAACCUAUUAAACAUUAAAAGCUUCCCUAAACAGGGCUGCCUUCAGAUGUCUUCUAAAAGUUUGGUAGUUAUUUUUCUCUUUCACAUCUGGUGGGAGGGCGUUCCACAGGGCGGGUGCCACUACCGAGAAGGCCCUCUGCCUGGUUCCCUGUACCUUGGGUUUUCGCAGCGAGGGAACCGCCAGAAGGCCCUCGGCGCUGGACCUCAGUGUCCAGGCAGAACGUGCGAGAAAGUGCAAGAAGCUUGACAGGUAAAUAAUGAGUUGUGGUGAGCACCUUUAGGCACCUUAUAGGGGUGGGGGGCAUUGCCAGAGACCUGCCACUCAAGGUCUGUGGGACCUUGUGGGCAAGAUACAGGGCACCUCUGAGGCUAGCCUGAGUCAUCAGACCGGUGCUUUAAAUUGCCACGUGAUUAAAAAGAUGGGAGGACUGCUUUCUUGCCCUCCCUAAAUAG